GAAGAAUUGACCAAUAGCAGAAACCUAGGUGCGGGAAUUAUUCAAAAUGACGUAGCCAACGUUGUCGGGACAACCGAAGUUGAUCCGCGCAGCUCGAUGGCACCCUCAGCAGGUCCAGAUAGAGAUCUGAGAUUCGGCAGCUGACUCUGGCUAGAAUUGAAUUCACCCAUUUUGUAAAGGUCUUCUUCUGGACAGCCUCUCGUUCAUCUGGAAUGAGAACAGCGGCUUCUGCUGGGUGAUUGAACCUGAACUUAUGAAUCCUUCCUAAAGUUAUCACUGCACCUGAGGAGAUCAACAUACAAUAUAUACCCACAUAUUUCCUGCAACCGGCUUCAGAGUCACCACCCCACUGUGAUUCUCAAUCUCACAUCUGCAUCCUUCUGAUUCUCAUCCUGAGGUCCAAUUCUUGUUACUCCUUCCUGUGGCAUCGAAAAAGAAACAAGCAUCAUGAGGAUUUAAACAGACAUGACCAUAUACAGACAGACAUGUUCCUCCAGAGGAACCACCAAUCUUUCAGCCACUACUGACCAAAGACACAUGUUUCUUCCCAUAUGCACAGAUAGAGAGCAUGACGGAGGCACGGCUGGUUCCGAAUAGGGCCCCUGAACACAGGCACAGAGCAGGCCCUCACAGAAGAUCAAAUUAAGAAGCAACAUGUGAAACAUCACAAGACUACAAAACCAAUUAAACUAAAUUACAUGGAAUAAUUAAAUCACAUGCUGGUAGACAGAAGAUGAACAGAACACUAAACAGAGAAAAUAAUUUUAUUCCGUUUAUGAUGUGGCCAAGUUUUCCACUUCAAAUUACACACUAACCAAAAUUUCCAACUAAAUUCUAAGGUUGGUUCCUACAUUAGAACUGUGUGAACUUGCCAUUAGCUACCACCAGGACCAACCACACACAUGUGUGUAUACACAUGUGUCCCUGUCUGUGAAAUUCAGUCUCAUAAGUUUAUUACUUAGGAGCAUCAAAGUGAAAUGAUUUCACUCAUUGUGUAUGCUUACAUAUGUUGUACGUUUAUCAAUAAUGCGAUUAUUUUCAAUAAUCUAAUAAUCCAAUAAAAAUACUAUGUUUACAGGA